AUGUUGGCGGCUCGCCGGCACGCCGCCUCCACCCCCGCUCCCCUCCUCCUCCGCCGCCUCUCCGCCCAGCCCAAGCCGCAGCCCAAGGCCGCUCCGCCUCCACCUCCUCCGCCCCCGCCGUCGGACGAGGGGGCCGCGGCGUGGGCCCGUCGCGCGGCCGCGCUCUCGCUGCUGGGGCUCACCGGCGCCGUCGCCGCCAGCGCCUUCAGCGACCUCUCCGUCUUCCUCUCCUGCUCCAGCCAGGCAAUGGAGAAGGCUACCAAGAACCAGCAGAUAGCGAGCGCGAUCGGCGAGCCCAUCAUGCGGGGACCCUGGUACAGCGCCUCCAUCGCCGUGAACCGCGCGAGGCGCUCCGUCUCCUGCACUUUCCCCGUGUCGGGGCCCCAGGGCGACGGUCUUCUCAAGUUCAAGGCCGUUCGAUUGGGAGAGGAAUCAUGGUUUCGGUUUCUACAGCGCAGCGACUGGGAGAUACUCAUAAUGGACGCCAUCCUUGACGUUCGUACCGAAGAUGGGAAGCGCCAGACAAUGAGGGUGACAGUCGCAGACAGCACGCCAGCUCCACCUCGACCACCAGCUGACUGCAGGUCAUGCAAGCCCCGGCCAACGCCGACGCCGAAGGCUACAGCGGUGCCGACGCCGACACCUACAGCGGUGCCACCUCCGACUCAGGAGAAGUGA
rnacentral:rRNA from 1 species